rnacentral:rRNA from 1 species
CGAGUGAAGCGGGAAAAGCUCAAAUUUAAAAUCUGGUGGUCUUUGGCCAUCCGAGUUGUAAUUUAGAGAAGCGUCUUCCGCGCUGGACCAUGCACAAGUCUCCUGGAAUGGAGCGUCAUAGAGGGUGAGAAUCCCGUCUUUGGCAUGGACCCCAGGGCUUCUGUGAUGCGCUCUCAAAGAGUCGAGUUGUUUGGGAAUGCAGCUCAAAAUGGGUGGUGAACUCCAUCUAAAGCUAAAUAUUGGCGAGAGACCGAUAGCGAACAAGUACCGUGAGGGAAAGAUGAAAAGCACUUUGGAAAGAGAGUGAAACAGUACGUGAAAUUGUUGAAAGGGAAACGCUUGAAGUCAGUCGCGUCGACCGAGACUCAGCCUUGCCUCGGCUUGGUGUACUUCUCGGACCGACGGGUCAGCAUCAAUUUCAAUCCUUGGAUAAUGGCAAGGGAAAGGUGGCACCUUUACAGGUGUGUUAUAGUCCUCUGUCGCAUGCAAGGGUCGGGAUUGAGGAACUCAGCAUGCACCUCAUCGGUGUCGGGGCCUCGGCCUACGUUACGUGCUUAGGAUGNUGGCAUAAUGGCUUUAAACGACCCGUCUUGAAACACGGACCAAGGAGUCUAACAUGCACGCGAGUGUUCGGGUGGAAAACCCGUGCGCGUAAUGAAAGUAAAAGUUGGGACCUCUGUC